rnacentral:rRNA from 1 species
UACGGAGGAUGCAAGCGUUAUCCGGAAUCACUGGGCGUAAAGCGUCUGUAGGUGGCUCAGAAAGUCUGUUGUUAAAUCUUGGGGCUCAACCCUAAACCAGCAGUGGAAACUUCUAGGCUAGAGUAUGGUAGGGGUAGAGGGAAUUCCCAGUGUAGCGGUGAAAUGCGUAGAUAUUGGGAAGAACACCAGAGGCGAAAGCGCUCUGCUAGGCCAUUACUGACACUCAGAGACGAAAGCUAGGGGAGCAAAUGGG